AUAAAUAGAACAUGCCCAAGCUUAAAUCAAAGAAUCGGUCUAACUUAAUAAUAUAAAUCAGCCCACAAUUGAAAUGAGAAGCCCUUUUGUUAAAAAAAUUCGCAGCCCACCUCAAAUAAAUAAGACGUGGCCCUAUUAAAAUAUAAAAACAAGCCCAAACACUUAUUAAAAUCGGCCCAACCUCAAACUCCCUUUUUCCCCCCUUUUUUUUUCUAGAGUCAAACACGCACACACACUCACACUCUCAGCUUUCUCUCUCUCUCUCUGCUCACCACCCAGAUCCGCCUCUCUCUCUCCCUCGAAUCUCCUCCGACGGCGACCGCCGCCGAUCACCCCGCCUUCAUCUCCCUCGUCGCACCACACCAUUCAGCUCACCAAUACCCACGAAAGAAACGGCGAAGCAGCGGCGAGAAUCACCGCCUCCGCCUUCCUCCUUGGCGACGGCGAGGCGCCGCCGCCUCCCUCGAUCUCUCGUCUUCCCCGGCGAAGUGCCGCCUGUGACAGCCCUCGUUCCCGGGAGAAUAGGAAAUGUGCUACUUAAUGGGAUUUCUAGACUUUGCUCGGAUAAAAUAGGUGAUAUGUCCUUAGAUUUGGGUGACACAUUCAUAAUAAAGGAAUUUCGUAAUUGAAGGAUAAUAAUUACGACAACUAAGAUAGAAAUUCUCCCAACCAGGAUCAAAAGUUCGGAGGUCUGAGACAACAAGAUAACACUUCAUACUAGACAUACAUAUAUGCGAGGUUCAGUUGCUAGAAAUGCGAUUGCCAAAAGAGUUCAUAAUAAUUAGGCUAAGAAUAUUUAAAGAGUCAAUCUCAAAAGAUAUCCACCUUAGUGAAUAUUAUGGCAGCAUAAAUUAUUAUAUGAAACUACAGCAACAUCCUCCCUCAGCCUCGCACGUCACCACCUGCCGCUCAACCUGCAAAAGGUUUUGAAAACAAUUGCAGGGCUGAGUACUAAUAUACUCAGUGGGUUUAGCCAUUUGAAAACAUUUGAAAAUCCAUUUAAAAGAAUAAUCCAUGCUAUGAACAGUAUAACAUAGAAAUAUUAGAAAGCAUUCCAUGCAUACUUAAAAUAAAUUGUGGAUCCAUUUUCAGUCUUCUCUCUACUGGUGCUUCGCCUAUAAUGUGAACAUGUGGGAGCAGCCCACAGAGGUCCACUACCAUGCAUGUUUCAGAAAUGAGAGCAGCCCAAGUCUGACAGUCUGGGGCAAGUGGGAGCAGCCCACAAUACCCCCUUGUGUGUACACAAUCCUAACCAGGGCGAUCCAAUCGCUACGCCGGCUAGGACCCGAUCGUUAGAGAACAUAGGAACACUUUAAACUAUAGAGAGAUAAAAACAUUUUAACAUGGACAUUCAUUUGCAUUUGCAUAAAACAAGUAGAGCUUAAUAACUCAAAACAUACAUUUGGAAAAUAAAAACCCACCUCGAUAGAACAAGCUUGUAGAUAAAAGAUGUACAAUUCUCUUCUUGUAAACGCAAAGCUAAUUCCUUCUCUCAAGUGGACCUACAAGACAAUCUAAUCUUAAUAGGUCUCAAAAUAUCGCAUGAGCUAACGAUUCUACAAAGCUGCUAAAUCUUAAUAUUCUGCGCCCGAAUUUUUAAAACUCAAAUGAAUAUCAUAAAAAAAAUCAAAUUUAUCAAAAUACUUUUAUUGCAUUAUUAAAAAUAAUCAACUGAUUCAGGACUCGACUAAAUAAUUUAAGUAAAGCCUGAGUUAAAGAAUGUAAUUCAGCCCAACAUCUAAACAAACAUGCAGCCCAACUCUUUAAUUAAAUCAGGCCCAACUUGAAUUAAAAGUAUAGGCCCAAAAUUUCAUAAGUCAAAAACCCCUUAUCUCUCCUUCUCUACGCCUCCCCUCUCUCUCUCUCAGAACACACCCCCUUCUCCUCCUUUCUCCGCCAUCUCUCUCUCACCAGCCGCCUCGCCACUUCUCCAUCGCCGGCGACGAAAGCUAUGUCGCCGUCGCGGCUCCCCCUUCCCCUAUCUUGCUUCUCUCUCUGUCAAAAAGGAAAUCCCCAAAAUCCCAAACCAUUUCCUUCGAUUUUAAGGGAGAGGCAGUCGGAGCAUCGCCUUGCCGUCGCGGCACAGCAGCAGCGUCGCUCAGCCACCUUCUCUCCCGAUCGACGAACGGACGGCACCAAUAGGCAACCGCCGCCGCGAUUCAUCACCACCAUCUCCGAUUCUCCCUAAACCGCCUCUUCCUCCCCUCUGAAUUUCGGCCAGCAGCUCGAAAUACCGCCGUCGCCGCCGACUCUAUCCUGCCUCCCCUCCUUCUCUCCUUCUACCCGCGAUGACAGCCACGCCGGCGACAACAGCAGUAACCGCGCCACCGCGGUGACCACAGCAGCACCGCUGCCUUCGCUCCCCCCCUGCCCUGACUCGCCUCGACUCGACUCCCACAUGAAAGAUAGCUUCUUUUUAACAAAACAUGGUAGGUAGAUUGUUGGGUAAUUAUGCGCACAUAUAUAUGUGUCAUGAAUAGAAUGGUGUAAGAGCAAACCUUCUUCAAAGAUUUUGCUAUAAAGCAGUGUUUUUGCUGUAGCGAUGAUGGUAUCGAGUAAGGGAUGCUGCUGUGUUUGAGUUAGCAGAAAGAAUGUUAUUCAUGUGAGUGCAGCUUGUUGUGUGUUUGCUGGGAAUUAGAAGAUAAUAUGAUGGAGUUUUCUUUCUGUAGAAUGAUUGAGGAAGAGAAGAGUGGUUGGUGCUCUCGGUAAGGAGCUGGGAUUAUGGAAUUUGCGAUGAGGCUAUAGAGAAUUUAGUGAAGAAAAUCUGGAGUUUGGUUUGGUGUAGAGUUUGAGUAUCUGCUGAGGACUCUUAUAGGAGAAGAGUGGGG
rnacentral:lncRNA from 1 species